CGCCUGGGGAGUACGGCCGCAAGGUUAAAACUCAAAUGAAUUGACGGGGGCCCGCACAAGCGGUGGAGCAUGUGGUUUAAUUCGACGCAACGCGAAGAACCUUACCUGGCCUUGACAUCCAGAGAGCUUUCCAGAGAUGGAUUGGUGCCUUCGGGAACUCUGAGACAGGUGCUGCAUGGCCGUCGUCAGCUCGUGUCGUGAGAUGUUGGGUUAAGUCCCGUAACGAGCGCAACCCCUAUCCCUGGUUGCUAGCAGGUAAUGCUGAGAACUCCAGGGAGACUGCCGGUGACAAACCGGAGGAAGGUGGGGAUGACGUCAGGUCAUCAUGGCCCUUACGGCCAGGGCUACACACGUGCUACAAUGGCGCGUACAGAGGGCUGCCAACUCGCGAGAGUGAGCCAAUCCCUUAAAACGCGUCGUAGUCCAGAUCGGAGUCUGCAACUCGACUCCGUGAAGUCGGAAUCGCUAGUAAUCGCGAAUCGGAAUGUCGCGGUGAAUACGUUCCCGGGCCUUGUACACACCGCCCGUCACACCAUGGGAGUGGAUUGCACCAGAAGUAGUUAGUCUAACCUUCGGGAGGACGAUUACCACGGUGUGGUUCAUGACUGGGGGUGAAGUCGUAACAAGGUAACCGUA
rnacentral:rRNA from 1 species